AGCGGUUCCAGUUUCUUCAUCCAUUGCGUCCAGUGCUUGGGAGAGAUUAGUAUGUUCAGCUGAGAUCGAGUCUGGGUGGCUGCUGUAUCCGAGCUGGGCUUGAGCUUUGGCUUGGGCUGGUUUUUUUUGGCUGCAAAACUGUCUGAUGGCACAACUGCAACAUAAAGGUUAAAUAUGGCACAGGAAAAAAAAAAAAAAAAAAGAAACAGAGCGGGGAGAAGGAAGGAUUAGAGAAAAGAAACUAAUAUAAAUCAGUUGAGGUUCUUUUUAGUGAAGAGGUCUUUGAUCUCUGCUGGGUCUUACAGAUCUUUCUUUUAAAGAGAGAGAGAGAAAAGAAGAGAGGAGGGGGGAGAGAAGGGAAAAGCGGGGAGAGAUCUUUGGCAGGUGCAGAGUGAAAACCUCUUUCAGCUACACUGAAUUCUGGAGACUGGUUGGACUAGUAGCUCUGCAGCUCCAGCUUUCAGUGGGUGUGUUAAAUAUUAUGAGCGAGCCAUGAUUCCUGCCUUCCUCACGUCAUAGUUAGGAGAUUGGCUAAAUAAACGCUACAGUGAUAGUAACAGGAAAACCUCAACCAAAAGAGGGGUUUUUUUCCCUCCUCUCCUCCCUCCUUCCCACCCCCCCUUUUCAUUCUACUGCAGCUCCAACUGGGGCAAGGAGAGGGCGUCUGUUCCACAAAGGUUUGGGAAAAAAAAUAAAAUGAAACGAAAUAAAAUGUAAAGCGGUAGAGGAGAGAGGAUCCUGCGCUGCCAGCGCUGCGAGGCGGCAGCAGCAGCGCCGUGCGCCGGGCCGGGCCGGGAUGGGCGGCCCUGCUCCGCCGCCGCCGCGCUCAUCGCCCUCGCCCCCGGCCCCGCGGGGUCAGCCCGGGCUCCGCUGGCCGGGGAUCAGCCUCCGGGUCUGAUCCGGGAUCCCUCACCGGGAUCCAGCUGCCCUCCCUCCCCUUCCCCCCUCUCCGCUGCUGGCUCUGUGCCUGCUGGCCCAGCGGGCUAGUGGCAGCCCCGGGAGCACUGAGGCAGCCGUUUGACAGCCAGGGCACCCUGCAGGAACGAGCUGCCCCUGGCGCUUCAGGUGGUCAGGCAGGGAAUGCCCAGAACCGGCAGAACGAGGCAGGAACUCGGACCUUUGUUCAUGCUCCAAAAUCCCACCAGAGCCACUGGAGGAAAACAAGUCUCGGGGAAAGGCCUCCAACAGUGAAAUAAAUUAUGUGAGGAUUCAAACAAGUCCUAACCUGACAUUUUUCAGAGUGAAAUGCAGGACC
rnacentral:lncRNA from 1 species